ensembl:lncRNA
AUUUUUAUUUUUAUUUUUAUUUUUUUUUUUAUUUUUAUUUUUUUUUGAAUACAACGUGUUCAAACCAAACUGUUAUUUUCUACGUUUGCAGUGAUAUCGAUAAAUUUAAAGAAAAAACUGAAGAUGUUGAAAAGAAGGAACACGGGGAUGUUAUUUGUUUUGCAUGUAAAGAAGUAAUUUUGUCAGAAGAUGAUAAAAACAUUUUAGAAAUAAGUAAUAAUAAUUUUAAUAGCGAUUAUAAUACUAUUAAUUAUAAUAUGGAUGUUAGCUUUGAUUAUAACUAUGAUGAUGUAUUUGAAGAGUCUGAAAUAAAAAGAAAAAAAAUUAAAAAAAAAAAAAAAAUUGUAUGCAAAGUAUUUAGAACAAAAUGAUUUUACAUGUAUAUCAGUUUUGGUUUUUAAUAAAACGUUAAGUAAACAUUUUUAUUUUGAUUAUAGAUUAUUAGAAGCGAAUGAUGUAUGUGUAAAAUUUUUUACACAUUAUAAUUUAUUAAAAACUACAGAAUUAUUAAAUAGUUAUAUGUUUUUUUUUACAAAGAAUUUAAAAAUAUCUGAUGCUAAAAAAUUAGGUAUAAUGAAUAUGUCCAAUUAUAAUUGUGAUUAUGACAACACUAGUUUAGGAAAUAAAAGUAUGUUACUAUCUGAGCGUAGAAUAAAUACUAACGCUAGUCAUUAUAUGACAGGAUCUGAUACGACUGUUAUUAAUGCUGAUUGUAAAGAGAACAUAAAUAAAGAAUGUAAUGAAUAUUCUGAUAGAUAUGGAAACACGAAUGAACAAAAAAUUGAUAAUAAAGAAAAUAAUGUAAAUGGUGUUAUAAAAAAUAAUAAAUCAAAUAUAAACCAAACAAAUAUGUUAAACAACAUGUCUCCAAUUAAAGAUUCAAAUGAAAUGUCUUACGCGGGUUAUAAUAAUUUAUAUCAUUAUAAGUUAAAAGAUAAUACAACCAUUAAUAUUACUAGAAUGAAUAAUUCAAGUGAUGAUAACCAAAAUAAAUAUCUUGAACAAAAUAUGAAAAGUGAAAUAGCUAAUCUGAAUACAUUAAAUAAUGAUUACGAUUCUAGAUGUUUUAGAAUGAAAAACAUGAAAGAUAUACAAAAUAAAGAUCAUGGUAAUAUGAUUUAUAAAAAUGAUAUUUUUUAUAAUUGUACUAAUCAAGAUCUUAUGUAUAUAAUGCAUUAUUAUAUACGACAUGGUAAUUUUGCUUUAGUUACAAAUAAUAGUAAUUUAAUAUGUGAUAGUUAUUAUAACAAUUUGUUAUCCUUAAUAACUGUAUGUGAUGAAAAAAGUAAAGAUGAGAGUAAAGAUAAAAGUGAUAUUGUGUUAUUAAAUAAAAGUUUAUUUAAUUUUAUGAAAAUAAAAUAUAUAUCUAAUCGUUUAUUUAUGAAUAUACUUUUAUUUAUUGAAUAUAAUAUAACUAUGUAUACCUGUCUUAUUAUAUUAUCAAUUAUUACUUGUAUAGUUCAUGGAUUUGAAUUCUUAAACACUAUGCAAAUUUUAUAUAUAUAUGCAAAUAAAAAUAUUAUUUUAUACUAUAUUUCUUGUUUUCGAAAAAGUGAUUUUUGCAUUGGAGAAAAUAGGAAUAAAAAAAAUGUUAAAGACAUAUUUAAAGAUAUUAAUAUAAAUAAAGUAAUUUCAGGUAUUUGUUCCAAAACUCUUAUUUUGGUAUUUGUUUUUUUAUUUGGGCAUUUGUUUAUACCUGAAAGUAAGUGGAAUUUUGUUUCUGACGAUAUAAGAAAUCAGUUAGAUUUUUCCGAAUUUUCCUUUUACAAAAAAGAUAAAAGUAAUCUUUUUUUUUACCAUACUAUUCGGUCAUCCAUACGAUUUAAAAAAAAUAUUGAGCAAUUAAAAAUAAUUGACAAAUUUAACAUUCGAGGUGAUUACAGAACAGUGCGUGAAUGGGAAACAUUUUUAAGUCCAAGUAGACAUAGUACAAUUAUGUUUAAUGUUUUUUUUUUACUUUUUUUUUUUUAUUUUAUUUAUCUUUAUAUAAAAUCUUUUUUAAAAGAAAUAAAUAUAUACAAUGAAAAAAUACAUAGAAAAAAUAAUAAUAAAUGUAAGGAAAUUUAUUCUAUGAAAACAAAGCACCUAUCAAAAAAUAUAAAUAAUGUAUUAAAAGAAUUAAAAAAGAGUCGACAAAUUAUGUCAACAUAUGAUAAAGUAGAUAAAAACGAAGUAAAAGGUGAAUUAUCUCCAAAUGAUAUGAGUACGUACCCGACAGAUACAAUGCAAAAUAUUGUUCUUGAACAAGGUAGCAGUUAUCAAUUAUGUCCAAAAUGUAAUGAAUAUAAUAUUUUUCUUUCUAGUGAUAUUAGUUAUAAUCAAACUCCAAAAAACACACAAGAUGAACAAAUAAAACCAAGUGCGACUGAAUUUUUGGAUCAAACAAUUGGUUCCACUGCAAAAAAUAAAAGGGAAAUGUUAUUUCAAUGUGUGAAAAAAAAUUAUUUAACUUUUCUCAUUUUUUUAGCUAUACUAAUAGUACAUAUUGGUGUUAUAGAAUUCGGUUCUGUUCUUUUUAGUUGUCAUGUAAGAGGGCUAACGAUUUAUCAGUGGUUGUUUUGUUUUGGUUUUUGUAUAAUAGAUUUUGUGUUAUAUUUUAUUUUAUCAAGGAUGAAUUUGUUUGGUGUGUCAUUUUCGUUUAAGAGUAUGAAACCAGCUCAUACACCUCACCGGAUGAGCAUGUUUGAAACGAUAUAUGAAUAUAAAAGGAGUUCUGUGUCACAAAAGUUUAAAUAUAACCUUGAAAAGUAUGUUUUUUUUUUUUUUUUUUUUUUUUUUUUUAUAUAUAAUUUGUUUGUUACUGAUUAUUUUAUUUGUUUAUGUCAUAUAAAAUGUGUUAAUUGAUCAUAAUAGGGGAUUCUAUAUGGUAUAUAUAUAUAUUUUUUUUUUUUUUUUAGAACAAGGAAGAGUUGGCAUUAAAAAAGAAAAAAUUAGUCCAGUAAUAUGACAUACACAAUAUAUAUAUAUAUAUAUAUAUAUAUAUAUAUUUAUGUAUAUAUGACAAUUUUUAUUCAUAAGCAUCCACUAUUGAAGUGUGACAUGAUUUCAACGAUAUUGCACAUAUUCUUGGAACAUCGUAGUUUUACAGUGCAAAUAAUAAAAUACGAAGAAGCAGAAAUAGCUACA